UGAAUGGACUUCAAAGGCUUUAUGCUAGGUGGAAAAAGUGAAAGAGAGAAAGACAUGUAUUGUACGUUCUCACGUACAUGCAGAAUCUAAAAAAGUCAAACUUACAGAAAUAACAGUUUAGAAUGGUGGUUGCCAGGCCCUGGGGAAAAUGUUGAAUACAGGGUACAAACUUACAGGUAUGAGGUGAAUAAGUUACGCGGAUCCAAUGUAUAGCAUGCUGAGUAUAAUUAACAAAACUGUAUAAUACAGUGAAAGCUAAGAGGGUAGAUCUGAGAUGUUAUUUCCUCAACAUUUUUUAAAAAGGAUUGUAUGAGGGGAUGAGAGUGCCAACCCUGUCAUGGCCAAAUAUGAGUGUAUCAAAUCAUCACAUUGGCAUCUUAAACUUACAGCUUAUAUGUCAAUAAUACCUCAAAAAAGGUGGAAAAAAUAAGAGUCCUGAGUGUUUCCAGUGGGAGAGCCCUCAAGCUAUAUUCUGUGUCCCUCCGACAUCUCCCCGUCAUUCUUGAACUUUCCCUUAUUACUGCCAUGACAAGGUGAACCAGGCUCAUGUAUCCUUUCCUUCCUCAGCCUGGGAGCCCAUCAUUUAGUGGAGAAAGGUGUUCAGAAGCUAGGAUCUGGGGACUGGUGUCAUUAUUGCCAUUGGAAUGUUGCUGUUUCCAGUAACUUGGGAAUAUAUGUAUGUACACAAUCACAUACACAAACACAGAGACACACAUCUAUAGUUAUAUAUCAGUCUAGCCACAUAUGCACACCGAUCAAAUACAAGAAGUUUGCAUGGAGACCUUGAAUUCCAGUAGAAUUCCUCAGAAUUUGUUCUAGUUUACUUCCUUUCCACAUUGGAAAUUCCCUUUAUCAAAAAUGACAGACGUGGCUCUCAGCAUUCUUAUGUAUUUCCUGAGUUGAUGAAUCCCAAUGCAGAUAAGUGAUCUUUCCUCCACAAAAAGGUCCUCCUCACAAUCUAUGCAGAACCAUCCCUGGCCCUUGACUUCCACACCUCACUCAAGCUUGGAUUCAUGAAGCAGUUAGCCACCUUCCCACCCAAUCCCCAGGGAUAUCCUUCUUUCCACCUUGGGCUCUGACUCUCCAGGCAGGGAUGCCCCUUUACACAUACACCUGCCUUGCCUGGCAACACCUAAUGGCUUUAGGACUGACUUGUUCAGGCACCAAAAAGGGAAGGGAAAGAAAGGGUAGGGACAGGAAAACGUCAAUAUGUCCUAAUACAGUCAGCCAAUCAACGUGAACUGGGCCAAACCCAGGCAAUGUGAUGAAGCCAGUUGUUUGUUGUUGUUUUUUUAUUUCCCUCAUUACCCUCCAACUUCCCUUCCUGCCUCUGUCCUUUGCCCCAGUUCCUUUUUCUUCUUAAGUCCUGCCCUCCAUCAAGAGUACCAAUGUUACAAAGAAUGAUUCCCAUAUUAUUACUGAUCUCUGCUGCUUGGCUGACAUUCAGCGUGACAUCCCUGCAGCUGGGACACUCACACUCUCUCUCUCUCUCUCAUGAUGGACCAGAAGGCUUCACUCCUAAUUUCAGGGAUAGGUAGGAGAGAAGGUGCAGGGCACAUGUUGGAGCCUUCAGUCCUUCAUCUGUGAAAUGCGGAUGAUCACAAAUUGUGAGAGACACAGAGACAGCAGCAACCAGACCCCUUUCAAUGGGUGCUACAUGCCAAACCCCGUGCAUCACAGGACUCCUUGACAUUCAGGAGCACGCCAAGUAGGUUUCCAUGCCAGGACAGUUGCAUUCGUUGUUCCUUCUGCCUGGAAUGCUCUUCCCUUAGAUAACCCCACGGCCUGCUCCCUCACUUCCUCCAGAUCUCUGCUUACUUGCCAUCUUUCAGGGAGACUUUCCCUCAUUGCCUUAUAUAAAAUAAUAACAUCAUACCAACAUAUACCCUUUCCCCUGAUCUAGCAUUAUCUUUCUUCAUAGUGCCUGCCACCCUUGAUUUAUUUACUGACCACCAAGUCUAUGAAAGGACAGACGUAGUCACUUCUGUCCUGUCACAUACUCCUCCAGUAGUGCUCAGGUAUAUGGCAGGUGCUCAGAAAACAUUUGUGGAAGGACAUUCUGGAGCCAGGCAACACACACUGCUAACAUACACAGGUACCCUACAAGACGCGCACUGACCCACUGUAAUAAUUACGAUACAUACUGAGAUUCCAGGAGACAACUGAUACGCUCAACAACACACAGUCAGCAUGUGAGGUUCAAGGCCUCGGAAUCAUUCUGCCAGCUUCCAAACCCUCAGUUCCCGGACAGAGACCUCACAGCCAAGAACAUAAGAGGUUUUAUUUCUGACACAGAGACUCCAGACAGCUCAGACAGAUAUCCAGAGACACCAAAAAGAGCUCACUGAAUCUCUGCACAGAGAGCACACAACUCGUCUCAGACCCUCAAACACAACUGAGACCAUAACCAUACACACUGUGACAAAGACCCUCCAAACAGACCAAAGUCUUCCAGACAAAAACAAAUGAGAGCUGCACAGAUAUUUCACAUCAUGGAGACUGACUCCCAAACCACUCGACACUUCCCAAUCUAAUACAAAAACCCUAAACAGAAAGACAGAAUUUUUAAUAACUCAAGAACAUCAUAUAACCUUUAGAUAAAGUCCCCAGACAGAUGGAAAACCUGCACCCUGUGAACAGAUCCCCAAGCGGCUGAUAGUUUACACCUUUAGAUGAACCCAUCCUUAAAGCAGCUCAGAGACAUCACAACUUGGGACCCUGUAUCAACAACUCAGAGCUCUCAGUGUGGGGUGCACACUCCUACACAGAGAUCUCACACCCAGGGGCUGAAAUGCCAGAAAGCUCCAAAAAGGCACACCCCGGAAUACAGGCACACGCAUCCUAGAGGCAUUGUACUGUGGCUCGCAAAAUCCACUCAGAUCAAAUAUUCCAUCACUCACAACUCCGCCCAAAGGCUCAAGGAGAUCAAAUGUACCCAAACAGCACCUGCGUCGUCACACGUAGCAAUACACAACCCCAAGCUGCCAGAUACACUUUACUCUCCAGGGAGAGACACCAAACUCAGAGACCUCUCCCUGGACAAGAAUUGCAUGCAUUUGUGCAAAUGACCGUGCGUGGCCACACGAUACAGACUGAGCGAGAGCUAAACAAGACUGAAACGCCGUCAGCAUGCUCCUCCAGCGACAGCGCCAAACCUCGCCGCUAACCAGGGCAGCUAUUCGACCCCUUCGGGAAAAGCAGUAAAAAUUGUAUGCUCUGAAAAGCCGCGCACGGCAACGCAGGCGCACGCGUACACACAGGCCUGUGGCCCUCAGUUCCAGCUCUGCGAUCCCAGGGCCUGUACCAGCCAGCCAGCCAAAUCGAAGGAGGCCGACCAAGGAAAGCGGGAGUCGCGGGAUUUCCGGCGCCUCUUCGCGUCCCGGAAGAGCUGAGUCCGGCAAGCACGCGGUGACCAAUCAAUGCCCAGAACGCUUCCUGACGCCAUACCCGCAACUGGCAGCCUAUCUCGCUCCGUAGCCAUCCCCCUUGGAUGAAACCGUGUAGAAACCAAGGGGUGAGGUUGGAAAAGAGACGAAGAAAGUUGCAGCUUAAUACCGGUGUCCACUCAGACUCGAAUGCCACGGGAAGACGGAAUGGAGCGAAUGGUUACAGAAUCGGUUCCAUCGGGAAAGCCAGCCACACUCCGGAGAAAGCUUCCGACUGGGAUCUGAAGGCCUGGCAUGGGGAAGGCCUCUGUCGCGGACUGCGAGUAAUACUGACAACAGGACAUUCCAUUCUGUUAGGAAAGGGGUCAGCUCCAAGGGGACCCAAGGAUACCGUGCAGAUGAAAUAAAGACCACAGCUUUCUCA